GUGGCCCCCCGCGCCGCAGCCGGCAUCGCGGCGGGACCCGGAGCCCGGAGUUCGGGUGGGUAACCCGAGCUCUCCAAGCUCUUGAAGCCGCGAGGGUGGCUUAGCUUCGGUGUUUUGGCUGAGAACACCCUUAAAGCUUAAAAUAAAACCUGCCUCUGGGGUGCAGGGGAGGAGAGAGGAGGACGCGAAUCACACCCGCUGCUGCGCGCCAGCCCGCCCCGUCUGUACAAUGGGAUGCUCGGGACUCGGACGGGAGGAUCCAGUGACUGCGAGCCCCGCAUUCGCCCGAUCCCAGCCUCACACCCCCAGCCAGCCCCCAGAGACCCUCCCACACUUACGAAGGAAAUGCAUGCGGCCAGGAGGAGAAUCCGCACCAGGAGCAGGGAGCUCUACCCAGGAAAAAGAAGAAAAGGACAGAUUCAUUUGGGGUUCAGCCUCAUGCCCCCCACACCCAAGACUUUGUGGCUAAGAGAAUCAGGCCACCUUGAGGUUCAUCAAGUUCAUCCCAUUAAAACCUCCCAAAACUCUGGA
rnacentral:lncRNA from 1 species